rnacentral:rRNA from 1 species
CAGCAGCCACGGUAAUACAGAGGGUGCGAGCGUUAAUCGGAUUUACUGGGCGUAAAGCGUGCGUAGGCGGCUUUUUAAGUCGGAUGUGAAAUCCCUGAGCUUAACUUAGGAAUUUCAUUCGAUACUGGGAAGCUAGAGUAUGGGAGAGGAUGGUAGAAUUCCAGGUGUAGCGGUGAAAUGCGUAGAGAUCUGGAGGAAUACCGAUGGCGAAGGCAGCCAUCUGGCCUAAUACUGACGCUGAGGUACGAAAGCAUGGGGAGCAAACAGGAUUAGAUACCCCCGUAGUCCCUGUCUCUUAUAC